GACGAACGCUGGCGGCGUGCCUAAUACAUGCAAGUCGAACGAACUCUGGUAUUGAUUGGUGCUUGCAUCAUGAUUUACAUUUGAGUGAGUGGCGAACUGGUGAGUAACACGUGGGAAACCUGCCCAGAAGCGGGGGAUAACACCUGGAAACAGAUGCUAAUACCGCAUAACAACUUGGACCGCAUGGUCCGAGUUUGAAAGAUGGCUUCGGCUAUCACUUUUGGAUGGUCCCGCGGCGUAUUAGCUAGAUGGUGGGGUAACGGCUCACCAUGGCAAUGAUACGUAGCCGACCUGAGAGGGUAAUCGGCCACAUUGGGACUGAGACACGGCCCAAACUCCUACGGGAGGCAGCAGUAGGGAAUCUUCCACAAUGGACGAAAGUCUGAUGGAGCAACGCCGCGUGAGUGAAGAAGGGUUUCGGCUCGUAAAACUCUGUUGUUAAAGAAGAACAUAUCUGAGAGUAACUGUUCAGGUAUUGACGGUAUUUAACCAGAAAGCCACGGCUAACUACGUGCCAGCAGCCGCGGUAAUACGUAGGUGGCAAGCGUUGUCCGGAUUUAUUGGGCGUAAAGCGAGCGCAGGCGGUUUUUUAAGUCUGAUGUGAAAGCCUUCGGCUCAACCGAAGAAGUGCAUCGGAAACUGGGAAACUUGAGUGCAGAAGAGGACAGUGGAACUCCAUGUGUAGCGGUGAAAUGCGUAGAUAUAUGGAAGAACACCAGUGGCGAAGGCGGCUGUCUGGUCUGUAGCUGACGCUGAGGCUCGAAAGUAUGGGUAGCAAACAGGAUUAGAUACCCUGGUAGUCCAUACCGUAAACGAUGAAUGCUAAGUGUUGGAGGGUUUCCGCCCUUCAGUGCUGCAGCUAACGCAUUAAGCAUUCCGCCUGGGGAGUACGGCCGCAAGGCUGAAACUCAAAGGAAUUGACGGGGGCCCGCACAAGCGGUGGAGCAUGUGGUUUAAUUCGAAGCUACGCGAAGAACCUUACCAGGUCUUGACAUACUAUGCAAAUCUAAGAGAUUAGACGUUCCCUUCGGGGACAUGGAUACAGGUGGUGCAUGGUUGUCGUCAGCUCGUGUCGUGAGAUGUUGGGUUAAGUCCCGCAACGAGCGCAACCCUUAUUAUCAGUUGCCAGCAUUAAGUUGGGCACUCUGGUGAGACUGCCGGUGACAAACCGGAGGAAGGUGGGGAUGACGUCAAAUCAUCAUGCCCCUUAUGACCUGGGCUACACACGUGCUACAAUGGAUGGUACAACGAGUUGCGAACUCGCGAGAGUAAGCUAAUCUCUUAAAGCCAUUCUCAGUUCGGAUUGUAGGCUGCAACUCGCCUACAUGAAGUCGGAAUCGCUAGUAAUCGCGGAUCAGCAUGCCGCGGUGAAUACGUUCCCGGGCCUUGUACACACCGCCCGUCACACCAUGAGAGUUUGUAACACCCAAAGUCGGUGGGGUAACCUUUUAGGAACCAGCCGCCUAAGGUGGGACAGAUGAUUAGGGUG
rnacentral:rRNA from 1 species